GCGCUCUUAGUUUAACGGUAAAACAGUUCUCUGAUAAAGAACAGAGCGAUGGUUCGACUCCAUCAGAGCGCACAA
rnacentral:tRNA from 1 species